rfam:Picea glauca, whole genome shotgun sequence.
AUAAAGGAUUUUUUGAAAUCCAUCACAUAUAGUAUUGACAUGUCAAG